GAUCCUGGCUCAGGAUGAACGCUAGCUACAGGCUUAACACAUGCAAGUCGAGGGGCGAUCAGUUUGGUUUGCUUUGCAACCAAAGCUGGCGACCGGCGCACGGGUGAGUAACACGUAUCCAACCUACCUCAUACUCGGGGAUAGCCUUUCGAAAGAAAGAUUAAUAUCCGAUAGCAUAUAUUUCCCGCAUGGGUUUUANAUUUAAAGAAAUUCGGUAUUGAGAUGGGGAUGCGUUCCAUUAGUUUGUUGGGGGGGG
rnacentral:rRNA from 1 species